UAUUAUUACAAGUCUUUUUUUGGAGAGUUUAAUCAUCUAUAGACUCAAAAAAGGCGAUUGAACACUACAAAUCUAUACUGAAGUUGUUUUUUUAGGUAGGUUCAGUCAUCUAUAGUUUCAGAAAAGGCGAUUCGAACUCUAUAAAUUUAUUCCAAAGUAGUUUUAUUUAGAUACUGGCCCUGUUGUAGCACCGAUGUAUAUACAACUACAGGAAAUACACCUUUAAAAUACCUUCAAUUAAACACAUAGACAAUAUUAUCGUUAGCAUUAUUAUUACUAUCAUUACAAGAGAGUUUUUGGUGGAUUCAGUCAUCUAUAGUUUCAGAAAAGACGAUCUGAUCCUAUUAAUUUAUACUCAAGUUGUUUUUUAGGUAGUUUCAGUCAUCUAUAGACGAUUUGAUCCUAUAAAUCUAUACUGAAGUUGUUUUUUUAGGUAGGUUCAGUCAUCUAUAGUUUCAGAAAAGGCGAUUCGAACUCUAUAAAUUUAUUCCAAAGUAGUUUUAUUUAGAUACUGGCCCUGUUGUAGCACCGAUGUAUAUACAACUACAGGAAAUACACCUUUAAAAUACCUUCAA